rnacentral:piRNA from 1 species
UUUUCGCGUGUUUAGGUUAAA